rnacentral:rRNA from 1 species
GCAGUCGCCACGGGAAUACGGAGGGUGCAAGCGUUAAUCGGAAUUACUGGGCGUAAAGCGUGCGUAGGCGGUUCGUUAAGUCUGUUGUGAAAGCCCCGGGCUCAACCUGGGAAUGGCAAUGGAUACUGGCGAGCUAGAGUGUGUCAGAGGAUGGUGGAAUUCUCGGUGUAGCGGUGAAAUGCGUAGAGAUCGGGAGGAACAUCAGUGGCGAAGGCGGCCAUCUGGGACAACACUGACGCUGAGGCACGAAAGCGUGGGGAGCAAACAGGAUUAGAUACCCCCGUAGUCCCUGUCUCUUAUAC